GACGUAGGGGGCGAGCGUUGUCCGGAAUUACUGGGCGUAAAGCGCGUGCAGGCGGCUUGGUAAGUCCCGUGUGAAAGCCUUCGGCUCAACCGAAGGAGGCCGCGGGAUACUGCUGGGCUUGAGGGCAGGAGAGGGAAGUAGAAUUCCCGGUGUAGCGGUGAAAUGCGUAGAUAUCGGGAGGAAUGCCAGUGGCGAAGGCGGCUUCCUGGCCUGUCCCUGACGCUGAGACGCGAAAGCUGGGGGAGCAAACGGG
rnacentral:rRNA from 1 species